AAGCAUCGAAAUGAUACUGACCUAAUGCCACCUCACAGGCUUUGCGCAGCUGCGAGUGAUGAGCCUUUUUCACCUCCUUGUCGGCCAAGAUCUUCUCCAAAGCUCUGGUUAAAAACAUGUUUUUCGUCUUUUUGCCUUCAUACAUGACGCGGUGCGAACGGGGCGAGGAGGGCCUGUCCCAGUGGAGGCUGGUUCCGCGAUUUUUAGAUAUUCCCGUAUGAUUGAGCUUUUCUCCGGCGGAUGGUGCCCUCAAUUGAGAAACAUAAAUAAAGCCAGAAGGUGGGGUAAAUCCCUCAGUUUUCCAUCAGCGACCUGCUGCCUGCGCCAUGUUGGAAGGAAAUGACGUCACGCACGUAGAAACGGCCGCAGUGAGGCAGAGUGAGGAGACGGUUUGAUGGAGAUUAAUGAGUCAGUUCUUAAUGAGGAACAAGCAACAGUGCUCUUCAUCAAGCGGCGCUACAUUUGGUUUGUUUUUUGAGUUAUUCUCAGAUUUUAUUUACAAGAUGUCUGAAAUGUUAUUGCUCUGUACACAAAGACGCUGACAUCAGAUGCGGAGGAUGAGUCAAGGCCAGACGAUAUAAAGCUGUCUGUUCUCUAACAGUCUCAAAACUCAGAAUAUACAAUGAAUAAAAAUAUUCUACUGUUCAUUUAAAAGGAAUAUAUCAAGCCCCUUUUUAUAAGGCGUCAAAUAAAUCUCCGGUGUCUGCAGAAUGUCUUUUAUCACAGCUAAAUUUGCCCCAUUUGGGUGUAAGCAAAAACACUGGUUUUGUGCGUGUCGCUUUACAUGCAAAUGAGCUGCUUUCAAGAAUAAGGCGGAGCUUUUACAUGCUAUGACAGUCAAGGAAUAACAAAACAAUUCUCAUGCAGACAAAAUAUCUGAAACGUUCAUGCCUGUUCAAACAAUAAUGGAGAGGAAGAGGUUACAACUUUUAGACUGAACUGGAACAUUUCUGAAUGAUUAUUGGAAACAUUUAUGUAAUUAAAUGUAUUAAAUUUAUGUUAUGUA
rnacentral:lncRNA from 1 species